rnacentral:lncRNA from 1 species
CCGCCACUCUCUCAUCACCCAUCACCAGCGCCGCUAUCCUCUUCCCGUUGAAUCACACACCACCUCGGCUGGAGUCCCAAAUCACCGGAGCAAUCACCAUAUGUCCACCCUAACGUCGAGGAAAUGAGGUUGUAUGGGUUGCUACCAUCGUUUUCUUGUUAACUGCCAUUCAGCCUUCGCUGCCAUCUUCUCCCCUUUUGUUGCCGAUGAGGCUUGCUGCAAGCCAUUGUACUGCCGACGUGAGUCAGCCAGGAAGACCGGAGGUGCCGGGGUUGAUUCUGUCAUGCGCCAAACUCGUCGAAGCAGAAGUCGCCAAUGCUGCUGUCGUCUAGAGGUUUCUCAACAUCAUCGACGCCCUGCUUCUGUCGCAUGCCGCCAUGACAUGGAGGCCGAGCUCGUGAUUGUUAUGCGAUGGCGUGAGUGGGGGGAGGGUUCUGUCGGGUGAAAGGCAUGAAGAACCACCAUGGCAGCCGGCCAUGGUGGCUGCGACCAUCAACGUCACUGCUGUCCGCUAAUUCUGGGGUAUGUCAUUGCCGCCGCCUACUGCAUUUCUUUCCGUCGCCACCAGCCACCGUGGAAGGUGGCUGCGUGCAAAUUUUUCUAUGUGUUAGGCAUGUGAUUUGUUGCAAUAUUGUGCUAGGUGUGUGUGUGUGUGUGAUUCAAUCGUGUCUCACAAGCUUAAGGGUGUCUUAGAUUUGCCGCUGCCGGAAAACCAAGGAAGAACCACCAUGGCUGUCGGCCAUGGUGGCUGCCGCCGUGUACCACCACCGACCACCACAAGGGUGGUUGUGGGUGUGUGUUAUUUUAUUAUAUUGUGUGUGUGUGUUAUUUUGUGAGUUUAUUGUAAUUGCAAAAUUUGGAAUAAUGAAUGGAACUCAAACCACCACCGUGAGGUGGUGGCUGCCGCCACCGGCCGCCGUGUCGGGUGGCGGUUUGCUUUGAUGGUGUUUGGACUCGUUUGGAUAAUUGGACAAGGGGCUAAAACCCUACUGGGCCUUAAAACCCUAAUGGGCCCAAUGAAGCUUAAUGGGCUCUAAUGGACCCAAUAAAACCCUAAUGGGCUUAAUAAUAUUUUAGUGGGCUUAAUAGGCCCAAUAAAGCCCUAAUUGAUCUAAAAGCCCAAAAAAUUAAUUAAUGGGCUAGUAUUGGGUUAGAAACCCUAAUUACGGUUUGGAAAACCCUAAUGCCAAUGAAAGCCUAACUUUAAGAAUUAAUCGGGUCACACACACACAAGAAUUAUUUAAUAACUUGAGAUAUUAAAUAAUAAACUUUGGCAAAGAUUAAUCUAAGCGCUAAUGGACUUAAUGGAUUAAGUCCUUAAUGGGUUAAGUAGGGAACUUAACCCUAAUCAUCAUUUUAUGUGAAACCCUAAUUUCACUUGGGUUUAUUGUUGGGCCUUUUAUCGGGCCUUGAUGAUUGGGUUAUUAAAUGGGCUAUCCAAGAUCAAGCAAAUGGUCUAGAGUAAUUUAAUGGGCCUAGGGUAAGGCCCAUGUAAGGGGCUUGGGCCCAAUUUGGAAAAAUGGGCCAUAGUUUGGGCCUUAAUGAUUAUAUGAUGUUGGGCCUUAGAAUGAGACCAUGUAUAGGCCUAGGCCCAAUUUGGAAAAUUGGGCCAUGUGUUGGGCUUUGACUCCUAGUUCACUUUGGGCCAACGGAUUGGGCCUUGGGCUUGAAUAAGCCAAGCUUGGGGUAAUGUAAUUAUCCAAAGUAAGUGUUUAUGGUUAUGUAUUGGGACCCAAUUAUUAAUUGGCUGUUAUUUUGGUGUUGACAGUUCGGGAAUCUGUAAGCCCGUAGCUAGGGUCGAGUCUACGGGACUUCAGCAAGUGUGGGAUUGUGUCUUUGGGACUUACAGUGUGAGGUGAGUUACCUUCUAGUAGCGGUGGGUCUACGGCCACAAAGUCGGGCCCCCNGGCCCACCAGUAGGAAUUGUAUGAUAGAUGUUUGUCUCUGUGAUAUUCAUCUAGGGUUGCUACUAACUGUGAUAUGUUAUUGUGCUAGUAUAAUAUGAUGCUAUGUGCUAGUGACAGUAGGGGGAGAUAGUCCCCCAGAAUACCGGUCGAUAGGGCCGAAGGGGCGGUUAUGUCCAACCAUUCUAGAUAGAUUAUGUGAUAUAUGUGUUAUGUGGUAGUAGUAGGGGUGAAAUAGUCCCCAGUAUCUGGUCGAGAGGACCGAAGGGGAGGCCAGCUCCCAGAUAUGCUAGUCAGUAUCCGGUUGAGAGGACCGAAAGGGAGGCCAGCUCCUAGACAUGCUAGUCAGUAUCCGGUCGAGAGGACCGAUGGGGAGACUAGCACCCAUAUAUGCUAGUCAGUAUCCGGUCGAGAGGACUGAAGGGGAGGCCAGCUCCCAGAUAGACUAGUCUGUAUCCGGUCGAGAUGACCAAAGGGGUAGGUCGGGCACCCAGAUAUGUCUGACAAUAUAUGUAUGUUAUGUUAUUGUAUGGUAUGUGGUAUGAUGGGGAACUCACUAAGCUUCGUGCUUACGGUUUUCAUUUUUGGUUUCAGGUACUUCGUGUUUAGAGGCAAGGAGCCGGCUUGAUCGCAGCGCAUCACACUAUGGUUUUCCG